AGCGGACAGAUGGGAGCUUGCUCCCUGAUGUUAGCGGCGGACGGGUGAGUAACACGUGGGUAACCUGCCUGUAAGACUGGGAUAACUCCGGGAAACCGGGGCUAAUACCGGAUGGUUGUUUGAACCGCAUGGUUCAAACAUAAAAGGUGGCUUCGGCUACCACUUACAGAUGGACCCGCGGCGCAUUAGCUAGUUGGUGAGGUAAUGGCUCACCAAGGCAACGAUGCGUAGCCGACCUGAGAGGGUGAUCGGCCACACUGGGACUGAGACACGGCCCAGACUCCUACGGGAGGCAGCAUAGGAAUCUUCCGCAAUGGACAAAGUCUGACGGACAACGCCCGUGAGUGAUGAAGGUUUUCGAUCGUAAAGCUCUGUUGUUAGGGAAGAACAAGUACCGUUCGAAUAGGCGGUACCUGACGGUCCUGACCAGAGCCAC
rnacentral:rRNA from 1 species